rnacentral:tRNA from 1 species
CAGAUAUUAGUUUAAGUAAAAUAUUAAUUUUGGAGAUUAAUGAAAAAUUAAUUUUUAUAUCUGA